GACGAACGCUGGCGGCGUGCUUAACACAUGCAAGUCGAACGGAAAGGCUCUGCUUUUGUGGGGUGCUCGAGUGGCGAACGGGUGAGUAACACGUGAGUAACCUGCCCUUGACUUUGGGAUAACUUCAGGAAACUGGGGCUAAUACCGGAUAGGAGCUCCUGCUGCAUGGUGGGGGUUGGAAAGUUUCGGCGGUUGGGGAUGGACUCGCGGCUUAUCAGCUUGUUGGUGUGGUAGUGGCUUACCAAGGCUUUGACGGGUAGCCUGCCUGAGAGGGUGACAGGCCACAUUGGGACUGAGAUACGGCCCAGACUACUACGGGUGGCCGCAGUGGGGAAUAUUGCACAAUGGGCAGAAGCCUGAUGCAGCAACGCCGCGUGCGGGAUGACGGCCUUCGGGUUGUAAACCGCUUUCGCCUGUGACGAAGCGUGAGUGACGGUAAUGGGUAAAGAAGCACCGGCUAACUACGUG
rnacentral:rRNA from 1 species